GGUAGCGCGAGCCUGUGACCAAAGCUUGGGGCAAUAAGGUUGUCGAAGGGGAACCAAGAGGGUGUAACCAAACAGUGGUUAACCCUGCGUGAGUCGGGCGCUACAGGCUCACCGUGUCUGGGUGCGUUCCAUUGCUGAGGCGAGGCAGGGGCCAGCAGGCUUGGCUAAGAAGGUGCGUCCGUGAGUUGGAGCUGCUGGUGGUUAUCCCUAUCUUCUCCUCCUCCGCUUGAUGGGGCGGGGUGGGCAGUUGAUGGAUGCCUAUCUUCUCCUCCUCCUGCUUGUAGAGGCGGGGUGGGAUGAUGAUGGAUGUUGUUGGCUGGCUUGACAGAGCAGCUAUCUGCCUCCCAGUUUAAAUGGGAUUAGAAGGAUGGAUUGAGCCGGUACCCGUAGGGAAUUCUCACUGUAAAAACCCACCUCUCUCCCCCGACGACAACCUUUU